rnacentral:tRNA from 1 species
GAGGGUGUAGCUCAAGUGGUAGAGCGCAUGCUUAGCGUGCAUGAGGUCCUGGGUUCAGUCCCCAAUCCCUCC